rnacentral:rRNA from 1 species
AGUGAACGCUGGCGGUAGGCCUAACACAUGCAAGUCGAACGGCAGCACAGUAAUAGCUUGCUCUUACGUGUGGCGAGUGGCGGACGGUUGCGUCUUACAUCGGAAUCUACUUUUUCGUUUGGGCUAACGUAGGUAAACUUACUCUAAUACCGCAUUCGACCUACGGGUGAAAGCAGGGGAUCUUUUGACCUUGUGCGAUUGUAUUAGCCGAGGUGGGAUUAGGUAGUUGGCGGGGUAAAGGCCCUGCUAGGCGACGCUCCGUAUCUGGUCUGAGAGGAUGAUCAAGCAGAGGGGAAGUGAGAAAGGGACCAGACACCUACGGGAGGAAGCAGUGGGGAAUAUUGGAGAAUGGAGGAAAGGGUGAUACAGCAAUACCGGGUGGAGGAAGAAGGAGUUAGGGUUGUAAAGCGAUUUUGUUGGGAAAGAAAAAAAGCAGGUUAAUACGCGGCUGUAAUGACGGUACCGAAAGAAUAAGCACCGGCUAACUUCGUG